rnacentral:rRNA from 1 species
UAGUCCACGCUGUAAACGAUGUCUACUAGCCGUUGGGGAUCUUGAAUCCUUAGUGGCGCAGCUAACGCACUAAGUAGACCGCCUGGGGAGUACGGCCGCAAGGUUAAAACUCAAAUGAAUUGACGGGGGCCCGCACAAGCGGUGGAGCAUGUGGUUUAAUUCGACGCAACGCGAAGAACCUUACCUGGCCUUGACAUGCAGAGAACUUUCCAGAGAUGGAUUGGUGCCUUCGGGAACUCUGACACAGGUGCUGCAUGGCCGUCGUCAGCUCGUGUCGUGAGAUGUUGGGUUAAGUCCCGUAACGAGCGCAACCCCUAUCCUUAGUUGCUAGCAGGUAAUGCUGAGAACUCUAGGGAGACUGCCGGUGACAAACCGGAGGGAGGUGGGGAUGACGUCAGGUCAUCAUGGCCCUUACGGCCAGGGCUACACACGUGCUACAAUGGUGCGCACACACCGCCCGU